GCGAACGUGGUGAAAUUGGCAGACACGCCAGAUUCAGGUUCUGGUGAAGUGAUUCAUGCAGGUUCAAGUCCUGUCGUUCGCACCA
rnacentral:tRNA from 1 species